rnacentral:lncRNA from 1 species
GUGCCUUCUGAAGAUCAGGGAACUGUGCAGUCAAAUUCAGUUGAAUCCUUAGUUUGGCCCUGGGAUUCUGUGACUUGGAGAAUCUGCUCUGCCUUUUGAUGGAAUCUUCAUCGCUAUGAAUGGUGCAACUUCAUCCACAGAGUUCUAGACAAUACCUGUGUGCUUUGCCAGCCACGUCUCCAGAUUCUUGGGAACAUAGAGAAGAAAAAAUGGGAUGAGUAGAAUUCUCAUAUCCGUGGAGCUCAGGAGAUGCGACGUCAGCACCACAUACUGUGAUGGCAGAACUUUGCUCUCUUCUCAGGUGCCAGGCUCCGUUUAUUCUCUUCAUCUUCAACUGUGAACUCUUCAUUAGUAUUUGUUUCCAUUUUCACGGGACUUAAGGACAGACACCAACACUUCCGACUUAGGACAGAAGUGUUCCUUCACGGCUUCUACCAAAUGCUGUUGCAGAAACCCCAUCACGAUGAAAAUGAGGACAACAUAACAUAGAAAGAAUUUUCUAUGUAUAAUAAAGGUAUUGGGGAGGCACUAGUUACAUGCACAAAGCUAAAAGGCUACUUGAAAAUCAAAAGGUAAAAUUGAGCAGAUUUUUUUCAAAUGAUGCUAAUUACUACUUCAAAGAGCUUUUUGAAAUAAUUUAUUUACAUUUUUUUUUUGAUGUUUGCCUUGUGUGACUCAAAUGUUGAGGAGCACAGGCUGCUGAGAUUGGGAUAGGUGCCCUCAAGUGUCCCCAGUUCCGUGUUCCUUCACAACAUCUUGCUGCAUUUCCAUAAUCUCUCUGACUCACAGCCGCCUGCUCCCUACCAUGCGAUCAUUGUUUUGAACCGCACAGAUUUCGACGUCAGAACCAGCCACUUCGUGUUUUUUUUUUCCACCAAACAAAAUUAACUGACAUGCCAAACCAAAGCAACCACAAGGAAAACUCAGCCGUGUGCUUUUGCUGAACUUGGGUGGAGGCGGCUUCCAGGACUAGGACAUCAAUUAAAGGGACAAGAGCAUCCCAUUCUCUAUGUGACUGUACCUGUCAUAGGGCUUUGCUAGCUGGGGACCACUCGGACUGCCUCUUCUUUCCUCAUUGAGAAUACUUUUAAUCUUAUCAGUUCUAUGGUCACUCCUGGACUUCAUAGUUACCGUUUCUUUUCUCAGUCUUAAAGCUAAUUUGGAAUUUGCUUCUUAGGACCACAAACUUUCUCAGACAUCAACCUUAUUUACAUCUUUGUCUGUGGAAUAUUACGUUAUUUGUGUGUGAGAGUACUUAAGUAUGUUAACUCACCAUAUAGGCAAUCACUUAUCAGUUCUUUGAACCUUGGCCGCUUACUUAGCAUGGUUACCUUGUCUGAAGAAGGCUGUGCCUUAGUUUUUACAGAUGCCCAGCUUCUGGUUGUCUUCUUCCUCAUUAUUCCAGAGACCAGAAAGAAAGAUUAAAGUAAUUUUUACCUCCCUGUCCUCUAAGAGAACCAAGGUCUUGAAAGACAUGCUUGCUCCCCUUUGUCUAGAAGAGAACUGGCUUUGAUUUAGGAAACCAAGGCUGGUGGAGACUGACUCUGCUGGGAGUAACUCCCUUUGGGGCUCAGUUCUAGGUGUCAAGGAGGCUUCAGAGCUGGUCUGGCUUCUGCUGACAGCUCUAAGAGCUAACCAGCUUGGUAUACAGAUCCCAUUUUCUCCUGCCCGUCCUCUGCUCUGUUCACUCUGCUUAAUAGAAUGGCUCUGCCUUCUCCUUAGUGAACUAUUUUCAGUCAGUGAAUUUCCAGAGCUUGGACUUCACUCUCAUUUCCAAGGUUGAGCAUGUGAUUCCGUCUUUCUGGCCUCAGUUCAGAGGCAAGAGUGGGCAUGAAGCCAGAUGAAGGAGUCUCAGUUUCUCACACUGGGGAAACCCUACUCAUCUUUCAAGACCAUGGACUUGACUGCUCCGUAGUCUCUACUCCCACAGAGCAUGUGCUACCAGUUCACACAGAACCCAACUCCAAAACAAAACAAAACAAAACAAAACCCCACCAACUCUCUCCUUUUUGUCUGUCUUCUUCUGGGCUGGGGAGUAUAGGGACAAAGGUUAUUUUUAGCUCACUGUCAGUAGCUCAGAGGGAAACUGCACUAUGGUAGGAAUUCAGGCAACAUUGGCUGACUGAGGGGAGGGGUUGUAGAAGGGGGCUUCUAUCUGGACAACGGGGAGGCUCUGAUUGAAUGCAGGGACAGGGCUCAGGGCCUGGGGUUUGGUGACAUGACACUUUGAAUCUGAUCUCCAAAGAGCCUUAUUAAGAAAACAGUAAAGCUGAGAAUUGCACCAGUGUCUCCAGCAGACUCCCAAGUCCCCACUAAUGACUCCUAUUAUAGCUUUCCAUUGCUUCCUGUUUCCCCAAGAAAGUCUCACAUUGUCAUCCCGGCCUGUUAAACGUUCUGUGGGCCCAUUAUCAAAAUAGCAUUUUCAGCUUCAUUGAACACAUGUAGGAAAUGUUGUCGUGUUUAAAAGGAAAAAAAAAAAGAAAAAAAGAGCUCACAACUCUGAGAAUAAGCCCAGAUUGUAUUGGGGUAAUUAUCUCUUCUCCAAUAGCUUUUUGGAAAAGAGGAUAUUUCUAAUUUUUUUUUGGAAAGCUAAGCUGUACAUCGAAAAGGCUAAAGUUGUCACCGAUUAGAUUAGUGACUCAACAAUUGAAACUUGACAUUCAAUUAAUUUCUCCUUCCCCCACCUCCUGCUCCGUGCCUCGCAGGACAACCUUUCUUCGUAGUAAUAAAGACAGAUUGCACACAGGUUUCUGAUGGGUGUUUGGUGCAGGGUCAUUUCUGACUAUGUUUCUGUGGAAGUGGAAAGCAAGCCUGCAAAUUUAAGUGGUGAAUGGAUCCCAAACAUGAUACUGCGGGGGUUCAGACCAGGGUCACUCCAGAUAGAAGGCGUGGCUCAGAGGAAUGCAUGUGCUGCAAGAGAGAGGGGACCAAAGGGACUGGAGAGGCCCAGCUGUAGAAGUGCAUCUUUGGUUCAUCAUCAGCUGCUUAAUGACCAUUGUCUGAAGCUCUCAGUGUGAUACCUUUAACAAUACCUCUGCAGUCAGAAGGGCUAGAGGCUGAAGUCCAGCUCUGCCAUUAAUCAGAAGCACAGUGAGUGCAUCACUACUAUUUUUUGCAAGCUUUGUUAUCCUCACCUGCAAAUUCUGGAUGGAGACAUUAGCCUCAUUCAUUGUUAGUUUUUCCUUCCUUACCUAUCCCCCCCCAACCCCCUCCUAUACAAUCUAGAGCAGAAGACCUGGCCUGGGUGGCUCGGGAUGCUCUGACACCAGUGAAGAAGUGAGGCUAUGUCAUAUAAUGACAAACAAAUGGCUUUUAGGGACACAGAGGGAGCACAAACACUGGUCAGCCUUUCAAAGCCAAGGGAGGCUUUCUAGAGGUAUGCUAAGCAAGUUGCCAGGAAAGAAGGGCAGGCAUUUCUUAGUGAUAAGUAGAGAGGGCUUAUGGCCAAAGGGCCAAAUGACAAAAGUGUCAUUUCAAGGGCAUGUGAGGAAGUUGAAGGUAGAGAAGAAGGUUGACUUCAGUCCUAGGUUGACAUCCAUAUUAUAUAAUAAGGGCUACUCAGACUCCCGCGGACUUUGGAUUGCCUGGAUACUUUAUUAAGCAGUUGUAGCUUGAACUGUGAGAGAAAUGUAAACAGAAGCCUCAACAGGAUACCCUCUCAUAUCUCUUAGUGUGGUGCCACUAUCAUCAAAAAGGUAAGGAUAAGCAAGGCUGGCAAAGACAGGGAAAAAAAGAAACAUUUGUCCACUAUUGGUGCCCAUGUAGGUAGGUACAACAUUAU